GAUGAACGCUGGCGGCGUGCUUAACACAUGCAAGUCGAACGGAAAGGCCCAAGCUUGCUUGGGUACUCGAGUGGCGAACGGGUGAGUAACACGUGGGUGAUCUGCCCUGCACUUCGGGAUAAGCCUGGGAAACUGGGUCUAAUACCGGAUAGGACCACAUUUUGGAUGGUGUGGUGGAAAGUUUUUCGGUGUGGGAUGAGCUCGCGGCCUAUCAGCUUGUUGGUGGGGUAAUGGCCUACCAAGGCGUCGACGGGUAGCCGGCCUGAGAGGGUGUACGGCCACAUUGGGACUGAGAUACGGCCCAGACAGCUACGGGAGGGAGAAGUGGGGAAUAUUGCACAAUGGGCGCAAGGCGGAUGCAGCGACGCCGCGUGGGGGAUGACGGCCUUCGGGUUGUAAACUCCUUUCGCUAGGGACGAAGCGUUAUGUGACGGUACCUGGAGAAGAAGCACCGGCUAACUACGUG
rnacentral:rRNA from 1 species